CGCACAUUGCGCCCUCUGGUAUUCCGGGGGGCACGCCUGUCCGAGCGUCAUUUAACACCUCAAGCCCCGCUUGGUCUUGGGCGCGGUCCGACGACCCGCCCGUAACGCCUUUGGCGGCACCGUCCGGCUCGAAGCGCAGCGAGAUUUAUUCACGCGUUGCGGCCCGGCUAGUGCCUCGCCACGGAACCCUCCUUAGAGUUUGACCUCGGAUCAGGUGGGGAUACCCGCUGAACUUAA
rnacentral:misc_RNA from 1 species